rnacentral:rRNA from 1 species
GAUGAACGCUAGCGGCAGGCCUAAUACAUGCAAGUCGAACGGUGUCUUCGGACAUAGUGGCGCACGGGUGCGUAACACGUAUGCAACCUACCUUACAUUGGGGGAUAGCCUUUCGAAAGGGAGAUUAAUACCGCAUAAGACAGUAGCUGGGCAUCCAGCAGCUGUUAAAGAUUUAUCGAUGUAAGCUGGGCAUGCGUCCAAUUAGCUAGUUGGUGAGGUAACGGCUCACCAAGGCAAUGAUUGGUAGGGGAACUGAGAGGUCAAUCCCCCACACUGGCACUGAGUUACGGGCCAGACUCCUACGGGAGGCAGCAGUAGGGAAUAUUGGGCAAUGGACGCAAGUCUGACCCAGCCAUGCCGCGUGCAGGAUGAAGGCGUUAUGCGUUAUAAACUGCUUUUAUACAGGAAGAAACGACUCUUGCGAGAGGCAUUGACGGUACUGUAUGAAUAAGCACCGGCUAACUCCGUGCCAGCCGCCGCAGUAACAC